rnacentral:rRNA from 1 species
CCGGUGCCCUCGGCUGCUGGUGGCUCCGUCAUGGUGUCCAACCCUGCUCAUCGUCGGUGGAUCGCUCAGGAUCAAGCUAUUCUGGGUGCCAUUCAGUCCUCGCUCACUCCCUCCGUUGCCGGCAUGGUGGUCUUUGCUGCGACGUCGAGGGAUGCAUGGGCCACGCUCGACUCCAGCUUCUCCUCGCAGUCGCCGGCACGUUCUUCUGCCAUUCGUAACCAGCUGGGUGAGAUCAAGAAAAAUGAUCUCUCCGUCACGGCCUUCUUCAACAAGGUCAAAAGUUUGGCUGAUACACUGUCAUCUAUUGGGAAGCCUCUCCAUGAUGAGGAGUUUACUUCGUUCAUUCUCAAUGGGCUUGAUGAGGACUAUGACUCUCUUGUUGAAAACAUCAAUGGACGUGACACGCCGAUGCCGCCUCGUGACCUCUACGCGCGCCUCCUCAACACGGAACAGAGGCUCGCUGCUCGCCGCUCUGUCGGAGUCUACACGGAGGGCCCUUCUGCGAACGCUGCUCACCGCGGGGGUGCCCGUGGUGCCAAGCAGAAACCG